UGCAUGCAUACACUGCUUAGCCUUGAGACCUUCCUCAUAUACAAUUCACAUCCUAUGCAGUUGUCAUUGCAGUUAGGACACAGAAUGGAUAUGAGGGUCCCUGCUCAACUUCUUGUACUCCUUUUGCUCUGGAUUUCAGGUGCCAGAUGUGAUAUCCAGAUGACCCAGUCUCCAUCCACAAUGUCUGCAUCUCUGGGAGACCGAGUGACUAUCACUUGCAAGGCCAGUCAGGGCAUUAGCAAUUAUUUAAGCU